rnacentral:rRNA from 1 species
UACGUAGGGCGCAAGCGUUGUCCGGAAUUAUUGGGUGUAAAGAGCUCGUAGGCGGUCUGUCACGUCGGAUGUGAAAGCCCGGGGCUUAACCCCGGGUCUGCAUUCGAUACGGGCAGACUAGAGUGUGGUAGGGGAGAUCGGAAUUCCUGGUGUAGCGGUGAAAUGCGCAGAUAUCAGGAGGAACACCGGUGGCGAAGGCGGAUCUCUGGGCCAUUACUGACGCUGAGGAGCGAAAGCGUGGGGAGCGAACAGG